AAGAGCCCUGGUGAGAAGAUAAAACUAUCAGUGGUGAGAAUUCAGAUGCUUGAUGGAUGUGUUAAAUUUUUUAGCUUGAAGACUCUGCGUUCUAAAGGUGAACUGAUUUGUGAUUAUUGAAAUCAAUCCUUACAAAUAUGAGAGGUUUACUAGAGAUCCUAGUUCAUCUGGGAUGUUCCCACUGAAGCUGCACCCUGCCAAGAUCCUGCCAAGUGGUGCAUAAUGUAGAGCAGUUCAGAAGCAUUACAUGAUGAAUACCUGAGAAUCUUUUGAAGCAAAUGGGUGAUUGUCGCGACAAGACUUCUGCCUUACAGGGUGGUAAUCUUCCUCAGGUUCGCAAUAUUUGGAGGGAGUGGACCACCAAGCUCACUAUUAUAGGAUAGAUCCCUGCAAAAGCUAUUUGCAAACUGCUCAAAGAACCAAUACUUGAGUUUGAAAGUGAACUUACAAGGUCUUCAGUUCACCAAGCUGCCCGAUGUCACCACUCAGUGUACCUUUGAUGCCCAUGGUUGACAGUCUCCUGAAAUAUGCAGAAGUCAAGUAGAGAAUUAAGAUAACAAAAACCAAAAAACAAGUUCAAAGAGGGGUUCUUUAGUGCUCAUGUUUGACAGUCUCCUGAAAUCAUGUGGAGAAUUGUGAUAAUUGAAACAAAAGAUUGUUCAGAAGAGAGGCUUACAGGACUGUCACUCUGGAAUUGCUGCAACCUAUUCCUUCCCAUGGUGUUCCACAAGGAUCAUCCGACUUUCCCCAGUUUGGAGGUGUGUUCUGCCACUGACUCAUCAAUGAACGCAGAGCAGCAGCUGAAAGUCGUAGCAGAAUAGCUUCUUAAGUCAAAAGCUCUAUAAGUAUUUGUGACCAAGAACUAUUGGAGCAUGCAAAAUACUACAUGCAAUGGUGAGUUUUUCCGGCUCACUAGAAACGUGAAGUUGGAAUUUUGUUUUUGGUGAGUUGAGAAGAUCCUUUGUUCUUGCAGACAGGUUUGCGAAACAGAAUAGCAAUAACAAAGCUCAGCACUCUCAGGGGAACACUAAAACUACUACAGAUGUUGGCCCAAGAAGAAUGGAUCUCCCUCUUCUCUGCAUUCUGUUUUCCUGAUACUAGAAAGAGGAGAGAUAAACACAAGGAGUACAUACCAUCUUGGGGAUUUGUGCUUCCUGAACUGGAUCCUAAACUGACAAGGAAAACAGAUAGGGUGAAGAUGAGGGUUCCCAUCUCAGUCUGGCCUAGUAUAGAUGAAACUCCACCUCUCGCCAGACACAGUGAUCAGCUCAGCCUGGUAUUAGAAGCCAUAUUUUCUUGAAGUUAGUCUGCACAGGAGCCAACAACUGACUUGCCUGCCAUGAUUCUCCUCAUCAUAAGAUCUUGAAGCUGGCAAAAGAUCCUUUUGCCAAAAGCUGUGCCUUCUCUUCAAAGUCAGUCAACCUUGGAUGACCUCGUGAAACCAUUGAUUCCAGAAUGUCCAUUGCAAGAGGUAAGAUGGCAUUCUUUUGGCUUCAAGUGGUGUUAAUGGAAAGAGUUGUUGUGUGGAUUGUGGACCCUCGCCAUGCCUUCUCUUCUACUCUUCUUAGCACUCAGUAAGCAACUUAUCAUGUGCAAAACACAAUCAUUUGUUGGAUGUAGAGGAGGACGAGCUCAAUUGUCACAGCAUUAUCAGGGUCCUAGUUGGUGUUCUUUUUGACAACCGUAAGGACUCAGUCACUGGCAACCUUGGCGGAUGGUAGAACUCAUAAUUAUCAUUUUGUGCAUUUUGUUCUUUCCAUAUAACUCGUAAUUAUCAUUAGGCAAUCUCAGCUAUGAGGACAUCACACAAUCAGCUGUGAUGAUGAAAGAGGCUACUCUUAGGCAUAAUCUUGGCUCAAAUAUAACCAGGAGACAUAAACUCCCCUGGUCUUCUAAGAGAGGCAACAAGGCUCAAGCUUUGCUUCUACUCAGGCUGACUGAUAGCAGUGGAAGUGACCUGAAGUUGCAGUUGUCACAUAUCCCAAGUCUUGGAUGGGCAAGGAUGCUUCUGCUGUUAGAUUGCAUGAACAGAGACAAAGCCAACCACAGAAGAGGGCGCUUGAGAAAGGAAGGUACAAUUUUGAAAUCUCAAACUCAGACAAAGAAAAAGAGGAUCAAACAAAACACAGUCAUAUGAAAGACCAUUAGUGGAAAGUAAUUAGGAUGUCAAAAACAAGAUAACACUUGUGAUAGUAUAUAUA